UACGAGGGGGGCAAGUGUUGUUCGGAAUCACUGGGCGUAAAGGGAGCGUAGGCGGAUGUUUAAGUUGGAUGUUUAAAACCGGGGCCUAACCUCGGAGCGGCAUCCAAAACUGGGCAUCUUGAAUAGGUCAGAGGCUGGUGGAAUUGGAGGUGUAGCGGUGGAAUGCGUAGAGAUCUCCAAGAACACCUAUGCGAAGGCAGCCAGCUGGGACCAUAUUGACGCUGGAGGCUCGAAAGCAUGGGGAGGCAAACAGGA
rnacentral:rRNA from 1 species